AGAGUUUGAUCCUGGCUCAGAUUGAACGCUGGCGGCAUGCCUAACACAUGCAAGUCGCACGCGAAAGGGGGCAACCCCGAGUAGAGUGGCGGACGGGUGCGUAACGCGUAGGAAUAUACCUGGUAGUGGGGGACAACCCGGCGAAAGCCGGGCUAAUACCGCAUACGAUCUACGGAUGAAAGCAGGGGACCGCAAGGCCUUGCGCUAUCAGAUUAGCCUGCGUCGGAUUAGCUAGUUGGUGAGGUAAAGGCUCACCAAGGCAACGAUCCGUAGCUGGUUUGAGAGAACGACCAGCCACACUGGGACUGAGACACGGCCCAGACUCCUACGGGAGGCAGCAGUGGGGAAUAUUGGACAAUGGGGGCAACCCUGAUCCAGCAAUGCCGCGUGUGUGAAGAAGGCCUUCGGGUUGUAAAGCACUUUCGAUGGGGAAAAACAAGCCAGACCUAACACGUCUGGCCCUGAUGGUACCCAGAGAAGAAGCACCGGCUAACUCUGUGCCAGCAGCCGCGGUAAUACAGAGGGUGCAAGCGUUAAUCGGAAUUACUGGGCGUAAAGGGUGCGUAGGUGGUUUGUUAAGUCAGGCGUGAAAUCCCUGGGCUCAACCUGGGAACUGCGUUUGAUACUGGCAGA
rnacentral:rRNA from 1 species